rnacentral:rRNA from 1 species
GACGAACGCUGGCGGCGUGCCUAAUACAUGCAAGUAGAACGCUGAAGGAGGAGCUUGCUUCUCUGGAUGAGUUGCGAACGGGUGAGUAACGCGUAGGUAACCUGCCUGGUAGCGGGGGAUAACUAUUGGAAACGAUAGCUAAUACCGCAUAAGAGUAGAUGUCGCAUGACAUUUGCUUAAAAGGUGCAAUUGCAUCACUACCAGAUGGACCUGCGUUGUAUUAGCUAGUUGGUGAGGUAACGGCUCACCAAGGCAACGAUACAUAGCCGACCUGAGAGGGUGAUCGGCCACGCUGAGACUGAGACACAGCCCAGACUCCUACGGGAGGCAGCAGUAGGGAAUCUUCGGCAAUGGACGGAAGUCUGACCGAGCAACGCCGCGUGAGUGAAGAAGGUGUUCGGCUCGUAAAGCUCUGUUGUAAGAGAAGAACGAGUGUGAGAGUGGAAAGUUCACACUGUGACGGUAUCUUACCAGAAAGGGAGGGCUAACUACGUG